UGAAGUCUUCCUACUGAUCUCACCUCAUGAGAGCAAGGUGCCACUACUGCGGGCUACCUUCCCAUGGGAGGCGGGGUCACUGACCCUCUACAUAGGGCUGCCACCUAGAGGGUGACAGGCAUUCCAACAAACCUGGCUUGGGCAGUUUGUAAGAACAGGAAAUGGUCCCUGCUCAGGUUCAGUAAACCCCUCUGCCCUUUCUCCUCUUGCGGAGGAGCAUCAGCACUCUCGUUCCUCAUUUCUCAGGCCAUGCGCUCUCCGUCUAGCUCUUCUGUUGCCAGGCAUGCUCUCCUGGUACCGUGGCUCUCAAAUCUGUCUUUCUGGGUGAGCAGGGACAGAACAAGCAUGGCUUAGGGAGACGUGGGAGCAGUGGCAGCUGGAGUGACAGGGGCUGGGGGUCCGGCUCUGCACUGCGCCUCUGCCUCUGCCUCUGCCCCGCAAGUCCACUACCAUCUCAGUUCUCCUGCCUUGAGAAACAACCGUCCAGCCUGGUCUGACUCUAUCAAGGAAGUGGCUGCCAUUUUUUUUUUUACCCUAUGUGAACAGUCAGCUCCUAAGCCCUGGUACCAUCCUACCUCUAUUGCUGGCAAUUAGGCAGGAGAGCCUUGAAGCCAGGUGGCUGAGGGAUGCUGGGGACAAACUGAGCCUACCUGUGUGUUCUGAUGGCAGGACAGAAGAAAAAUCUAGAAGCGAGGUCCAGAGACGCUCUAAAUUCCCCGGGUUCUUAGCUCUGGCUUGCAGCUAGAAAGGUGAAUAGGCCGCAGCCUUUCAGAGGGGGCUUCCCUGGGUGUGGGGUGGGGCCAAGCCCCGUGAGGGUGGUCAGAGCUGUGCUGCCAUCAUCCGGUCCCAGGGACGCCCGCAGACAACUUCCCUUAACCUGGCUCUGCCCAGUGAGUCACCAAACAACUGCUUCCUGUUCCCCGCAUGCCCUCAUGGAGUCUCAGGAGAUGAGAUGAAGCUGCUCCCUUUUCUCCUGGGAUUUUACCCGUCAGAUUCCUGGCAGCUGUGCACGGCGCCUGUGCCGGCCGUCACGUCCCAUUCCGAUCUCUGGGUCGCACGGUAAGAGGAGGACACAGGAUGCGCAGGGAGUGAAAAAGUGAUGUCGGUGGGGAGAGUGCCAAGUCCCCACUCGCAGCCAUGGGACACUUGGGGAGCAGGGGAAGCAUGCCGCUGCAGAGUUCAGAGGCCGGUAGUGAGGUUUAUUUUUGUUUGUAUGAGUAAAAAGCUGCAGAAGCCUCUGGUGGGGGUGAGGGGGGUGCAACCGGAAUGCUGUGGUUCAGACAGACUGGCCCUGGCAUGGAGUCAAGCGUGCUGACCCGGAAGGAGAGUUCCACAGGAACCUUCUAACAGCAGCUGAGGUUGGGCCACAGUGAUCCCUGGAUAGUGCCCUUGGAACCCAAGCAACACACGGACACUCUGAAUCAGGUUGGUAGCAAUAAGGACCCAAGUUGGCAUAAAAUGUGGAAGAAAAAAAUAAUUCUGUUUCUGGAAGGUGCUAAGUAACUAACUUUCUCUAAGGUAUGGGAGUUUCCUGGAGCAAGCUGGCAGAGAACUGGGAAAGAGAUCAUAUACAAUAAUACCUAAGGAGGAAGCUAACAGGCUUGGGUCUCCAGGAAAAACUUUUGCAGGUUAAGUUCCUUCUCUACGGUGGAGAUGAUCUUAUGAUGCUUACCGCUGCAAGCUGAGACACUGAACAUUACAAGUAACAGCAAUUCAAUGAGCUGACACAGGAGGUGUGGCACUUGGAGAACCUGGAUCAUGAAGCAGAGCAAGACCAGGAGAGGGCCUUCUGAGGUCUUCCUUCUGCUUAGGGGCUCCCAUAGGGAGUGCGGCUGCUUCCUUCCCUCUACAGGGUGAAGAAUCAUUCAUCCCUGAGCCUCUCUGGCCAGAGCAAUGUCUUCAACAGAAAUUAGAAGCUUUGUAACACAGGAAAUUUCCACAUUCACCUUAUAUAUGAAAGUACCUAGCAAAGUGCCUGACACAUAUUAGUAACUCAAUAAAUGCCAGCUUCCUUUCUUCCUU
rnacentral:lncRNA from 1 species